rnacentral:lncRNA from 1 species
UUAAUAAUACAUUUACUGGCAACAACAGGACUUUUAAGGUAGCCAGGGAACAUGGAGUUCAGAGUAAAAAUGUGACAUUUUGUGCUUCAUUGAAAGCUGCUCAGUCUAUUGCCAUGGCGACCUGGUAUUUACUGGACGGACUGUUUGGCAGCUACAGAACACAGCAGCAAGCAGAUGACAAGUUCAUAUGGAAGCUGUGGAUCACCAGCGGGGUGGACGCUAAGUGAGCUGCUUUGGAUGUCUCAACCAAAGCAAGCCCCUGUCAGAAAUGUGCCCACAGGCCCGGACACACAGACGUCCAGAAACAUGAAGACGGAGAAGUUAGAAAAGCUCAUUAAAAGUUGCACACAGACAAACAAAAAAAGCACCAGAGAGGAUGUAAAAACAGACACGACUGCAGUCGUAAAGCAGGUACAGUACAGUAUGUGCAUCAAGGCUGUAAAAUAUCCAGCUAUAAAAGAACUAUUGGUGAUAAGCCAGCACUUUUCAUUAAAUAGCCCCAGUGGACUAGCUAAAUGCAUUAGCAAAUAA